GCAAACAAAAACACCAGGCGCUAAGCUGACGGUGCGGGCAGUAGUAUAUAGUCCAUAAAUGUGCAUUUAACUCUUGCGAGGAAUACUAAGAGGGAGGGGGAGCGACGGCUGCUUUGUGGAAGAACUGAGAAGGCGGCGCAAAGUGAAAACAUGGGCAGUGAGCCACCAUCCUCAGCACACUCAGGCAGAGGUUUACCCAGCGAGACGACGGAGUGCUUCAUAUGCAGGGAGGCUGAACUUCAAGCCCGUGACCCGCUGAGGCAUUUCUGCGACUGCAAGAAUUUACUUGCCCAUCACGUGUGUCUGUCCACGUGGAUCCUGAAGGGAUGCGAGAGCGGAAACCGGCUGCGCUGCAUUAUCUGCAAAGCCAAGGGCUCGCAGACUGCAUCAUUCUUUUUAGGGGGAUCAUUUCUUUCUCUUUCUCCGUUUCUUAUUGAUAUGAUGCCAAAAAUAUGCUCCCAGGGCUAUCAUUUUUCUGCGUCCGUUUGCAAAAGCGGAGGCCUAAGAGGAUUUAUCUUCGUGACCCAUCACACAAAGACAAUGAGCCGCAGAAUAGCGGCGUCCGACUGGGAGGACCGAGAGUGGGCGCACCCAGCCGUCCUCAGGCGUCCCUCUAAAGGCGGCCUCAUGUUACAGUACCAGCUGCAGAGGACCUCUCCAUGGCGCUCGGUGAGCUCCCAGUGGCAGACGUGGCUGAUGCUGAUCACCGGCUUGGCUUUAAUGGGUCUGGUACCUUAUGUAGUUCACUGCAUGAUGACUGCCUUCACCAGGCCUCCUCCGCCCACCACCUUCAAAGUGGCAGCCGCUGCUUAUGGUCUGCUGGCAGAGAUCCUGCUGAUCAAGUGUCUGUGCAGCUACCUCAGCGGCUGUUACCGGCGGGCGGAGCAAAGCGCGUUCACGAUCCGGGCCAGAGGCCCCGAGGAGCACGGGACGAGCCUGGCCUGCUGAAAGCGGUCCGAGGCCUCAGCAGAGGCAGGCCGCGCUUCACCGGAGGGGGAAAGUGGACGAAAGGAAAGAGGGGACGUCUCGGCUUCUUCUGGACCAGUAACCAGGAAACGGGUUGAGAGUAAAUCCUGUGGAUGGUACCCACGGACAACAGCUUCGCCGUGGCAGUCACGAGAUCGAACACUUUAAAACCUAUUUUAGAGGCAAACACAUUCACAUUCCAUCGCGCCGUAAUGGCUCCAUCUCCCGUGCUUCUGCAGCUAAUUGAAUGGCCUGUGAAGUGGUUUGACGAGGACGGGGCGAGAGCAACGUCUGUCCAGCUGCUACUUCAGAAACGAGUGAAGCUUCCCAGCGAAAGAUUACCGUAGUCCUUAAAACGUGAACCAUUGCCGCGGAGAUGGAGGAGGGGCCGACAAGUAGCCCUCCUGUUGUAGAAGCCUCAUUUUGUCCAUGGGUCACAGUAAUAAAUAAAAGCUUUUAUUUAGCACAUACUGUAUGUUUUUCAUGUGGGGGCAGGGGGUUAUUGUUAGAGUAACGAAAUUCCAGCGGCACAGAAACUCAGGUGGCGGCUUUUGAACACCUGCUGUCUCUCAGACACACGCCGUCGAGAAGGAACAAAAAGGGCUCUCGAUCUCUCGAGGUUCUACAACGAGCAGACAUGCAGGAUCGUAGAUCGGCUCAAUCUGGAACACGCAUGUAUCUUUGUGGGCAACAUCUUGGAGACAGUUUGGACCGAUCACUGUGCCACAUGCAACAUGUUAUUCCCCCUUUGGCUGGAUUAGUGACGCCGGCGAAACGGGUCAGCAGAGCCGCUCGUAGUGAGUGUGGUCUUGUAACGUGAGGCCUGUUGGAGUCUUACAUCGACGGCAUGAAGGGUCACCUCCUUUAUUAAAAGUUCCGUGAUAGAUGAGGCGUGGAAGACCGAAAAAUGGAGAUCAAAAGAGUUCUUCAUGUGGGAGGUAAAAAAGCCUUUUGCACCGUUGACAACGAACAGAGAAAAACCACAAAGAGAAAUAUAUCAUUGUUGUGACAACAGGGUAGAUGAGACCAGCACGGGGAAGCUAACGUGUACUAAUGGUGGUGGGAG
ensembl:lncRNA